CAGGGCUUGAGUUCCAGCAGGAGGAGAGAAGAGCUGGGGAGAGGAGAAAAUGGAGGAGGUAAGCCAGUGGCCCAGCCAGUGCACAUCACCGCUUCCUGCCCCAGUGGAGCUGGUCCACGGAGUCAUCUCAGCCACCACCCCAAAGUUCACUCGCUCUUCCUUCAGGCCACCCCAGCGUCUCUGGGUCUCUCUCAAGCCAGGAGGCAGCCACCCGGUCCUGAUGAUGGGCUCUGCUCAGCGGUCCUGGUCCUGCUGUUCUCCGACUGCCAGCUCCUUCCCACACCCUCCUUCAGGUACCUCAGCCCUUCCCCACAGACUCUCUCCAGC
rnacentral:lncRNA from 1 species